UAUUCUCUCCACCAACAUCCAACUUAACUGGCACAGAACUCUUUGUGCUGUUGAGUCCAUUGGCUGCGCUCCCCUACUAAAGGAAGGCUCUCUGCGCAACCCAGGACAUUUCUUUCUCCACUCUCCUCCUCACCAGUUUGCCCAGAGCACUUUUUGUUAAGGGAAGGAGGCGAUGCCUUUCAAAGGAGCACAAUUGUGUUGCUGUUGGUUUUUCUACUUCGUCCUGCCUUGCAACUCCCUUUUCCAAGGCUAUGGACCUGGGGACUAUGGGGCGCCAGAAGUGGAUUAUUCAAAUGAAGCAGACUUCGGGGAGAGCAAUUAUGGUCAGGACGUGGAACAGUAUGGUCCUGAAGCUGCAGGAGAAACUGCAGCUGAAGCACAAGCACAAACACAAGCACAAGCAGAAGAAGAAGCUAAUCAACGAUGAUGUCCCAUUUCCUCGUUGUGGCAAGCAUCGUCUGGAGAACAGCUUUAGAUGGUUCCAAAUUCUACCAACAGUUUAUAUUAUGGAACGGUUAUUAAAUAUUUGUUAGAGGAGGAAAAAAAGCUUCUUCUCUUCCAGUC